GCUCAUUUUCACGUGUGUUUUACUCCAGCAGGGUUUUUGCUCAGAGAGUCACUUUGCAUCGGCUCAUGCUUCAGCGCUCCGAGUGUUUAUAGCGUUCAGACUCAAACACUUUAUAACACACUGCUGUUUACCACGGUACAAACCCAACAAACACCAUGAAUCUCUUCAGCAGCUUCAUCUGGAUUCUGGCAGCUUUUAUUCCAGCAUCCAGAGGAAUCACUGUGACUCAGCCUGAAGCUGUGACUGUUUCUGAAGGACAAAACGCCAAAAUAGAGUGUAAAACUGAUCCUGGGAUAUAUGGCUAUGGUUUAGCUUGGUAUCAGCAGAAACAUGGAGAAGCUCCUAAACUCAUUAUUACUGAGGUAGAUGAGCUUUAUGAAGGCAGUUUAAGUCGAUUCAGUGGGAAUGGAGAAGAAGGUGGGACAGAUUUCUCUCUGACCAUCAGUGGAGUCCAGACUGAAGAUGCUGGACAUUAUUACUGUCAGAGUUAUCACUACAUCAACAGUAAAGCAGUGUUCACACAGUGAUAAAGAGUCGUACAAAAACCUCCGUCAGUCAGAGUCACAGUGACUGAACUGAUACUGCAGCUGCUCACACACUUUCACACACUUUCACACACACACUCAACAGUGAAGAAAAACUCAAUAUGAUCUUAUUGAACAUCACUUUUGUUGAGUUGAAUCAGUUUUAACCUUUUUGAUUGUGAUUUUUUUAGAAGUCAUAUUUGUCUCCUGUUAUCCUAUAACAUCCUUUAUGUAGAAAUUCAGUCACUUUUGAUCUUCACUUCAGUGGAUAUUUUUCAUCCUUCACUUUAAAUUUUUUAUUGUCUGCAUUUAUGAUUUAUCCUCAUUCUUCUUUCUAAACUGAAUCAUCAUCAGCAUCAUAAACAUGUUCUGCUUGAUCAGUUUAAUAAGUCUAUUGAUUUAUUAAGUUCAUCCCUCAUAAUGCAGAUAUUAACAGCAUCAUAUAAACACAUUCCUCAACUUCAGAGCAGAUGAUAAUGAAUAUAAUUGAUAUAAAUAUCUAUGUAUGGAAGAAUUAACAAUGAUAUAAAAAUUAAUUUUAAAAUUAAAGACCAGAUAUAUGCAUAUCACCAUAUAUUUUUCCAUUUAUUUUAUAAAGAUUCAUAAAAGUGAAGAUGUUUCUAUCAUGUGACUCAC